UGGACCUGUCUCUUCUCCUGUUCCCCUUCCUUGGACGUUGUAUCAGCCUUUCCACUACCUGCCUAAGGACCAGCUGGUCCUGUUGGAGAUACAGGUGUACCUGGACCUCAGGGACCCCCUGGACCACAAGGACUCCAUUAUUUGACCUCCGAAAUAUGGAAAAGCUGUGUCUGUUUCUGGUGAAGCAUUGGGAUGAGGAGCGUCGCCAGAAAAUCUCAUCAAACUCAACCCGUGUGUUUAAGCUGCACCUGGAGGCUGUCCUCUUGAAGAUUUGUGGCUAAAUUAAUAUAUAAAUCAUUGUUGACUAAACUAUUGAUACAAGA